CAGGGAAUCUUCCACAAUGGGCGCAAGCCUGAUGGAGCAACACCGCGUGAGUGAAGAAGGGUUUCGGCUCGUAAAGCUCUGUUGUUAAAGAAGAACACGUAUGAGAGUAACUGUUCAUACGUUGACGGUAUUUAACCAGAAAGUCACGGCUAACUACGUGCCGG
rnacentral:rRNA from 1 species